rnacentral:lncRNA from 1 species
AUGGUACCACCCUUCAUGAAGGACAGCAAUAGCCUUCCGGCUGGAGGGAAGAUGGCAGUCCUUGCCAGCAAGCUAGCUUCUUUAGCACAGGUCACAACAACUCGCCAUCUCCUUGCCUGGGCUUGCCUUGCUAAGGGAUCUGCUUUGCCUUGUUUGUAUUUGUCUGGGUCUAACCAGAAAAACAGAAAAUCCUUCAAAUAUUUAUAUAACAGGAAAUUCACUACAGGGCAUUGGUUGCUCAGGUGAUGGAGGAGAUCUCUAUGGGGGACGUGACUUUGAUAAACACACCCAGUGGCACUGAUUUUGCAAAGCCUCAAUAGGUACAUUUCUGCUAUGGUUAUUUGCAGCAACAUGGAUACAUCUAGAGAUUCUCAUACUAAGUGAAGUAAAUCAGAAAGAGAAUGACAGGGAGUUCCCAUUGUGGCUUAGCAGAAAUGAAUCCGACUGGUAUCCAUGAGGAUGCAGGUUCAAUCCCUUGCCCCAGUGGGUUAAGGAUUCGGCAUUGCUGUGAGCUGUGGUGUAGGUCACAGGUGUGGCUCAGAUCCUGUGCUGCUGUGGCCAUGGUCACAAAUACCAUAUGAUAUCACGUAUAGGUUCAUUUAUGCCAUAUUUUAGAUUGCACAUAUCUGCAAAACAAAUAGACUCAUGGACACAGAGAACAGACUUGUGGUUGCCAAGGUGGGUGGGGAGGGAGUGGAAUGGACUGGGAAUUUGGGCUUGGUAGAUGCAAACUAUUACCUUUAGAAUGGGUAAGCACUGAGGUCCUACUAUAUAGCACAGGAAACUACAUUCAAUCUCUUGGGGUAGACCAUGAUGGAAAACAGUAUGAGAAGAAGAAUGUAUAUAUAUAUAAAUGACUGUCUCACUAUGCUGUGCAGCAGAAAUGACACAACACUGUAAAUCAACUAUACUGUAAUAAAAAUAAAGUAAAAAAGCAAAAAACACUUAUGUCAUAUGAUAUAAUACAAUAUAAUCUAACAAACAGUAACUAAAAUUUAUUGAGCAUUCACUGUGAUGGACAGGGUGAAAAGUACUUUCCUUGCAUGAUUGCUUAUGAUCACAUUCAUGGUAUAAGUUCCAUUAUUAUCCAGAGGUUGGUAACUCACCGAAAGCCACACCAUUGGAUGGUGAACUCAGGAUACCAGGGGUCCAGGCUGUCUGCCUCCAGAACCCCCAUCUCACUCCUGACUUUGCCACUUUGAUGUCUGCUUCCAAUGUGCCUUUUCUCCUCUAGGCUGUGAAGGGAUAGCUUAGUGACAAGUCCAGGUGGUAGCAAAAAACACAGCAGUGACAGUGUCAGUGAAAAAUAGCUCAUUGGGACUCUGGAUUGGGAACAAAUGUUCAACU